rnacentral:rRNA from 1 species
GUGAGUGAUGAAGGCUUUCGGGUCGUAAAACUCUGUUGUUAGGGAAGAACAAGUGCUAGUUGAAUAAGCUGGCACCUUGACGGUACCUAACCAGAAAGCCACGGCUAACUACGUGCCAGCAGCCGCGGUAAUACGUAGGUGGCAAGCGUUAUCCGGAAUUAUUGGGCGUAAAGCGCGCGCAGGUGGUUUCUUAAGUCUGAUGUGAAAGCCCACGGCUCAACCGUGGAGGGUCAUUGGAAACUGGGAGACUUGAGUGCAGAAGAGGAAAGUGGAAUUCCAUGUGUAGCGGUGAAAUGCGUAGAGAUAUGGAGGAACACCAGUGGCGAAGGCGACUUUCUGGUCUGUAACUGACACUGAGGCGCGAAAGCGUGGGGAGCAAACAGGAUUAGAUACCCUGGUAGUCCACGCCGUAAACGAUGAGUGCUAAGUGUUAGAGGGUUUCCGCCCUUUAGUG